GUGCUCCCUGUGGCCGCACAUACACUACAAUUGGAACAAUACGGAGAAGAUGAGCACAGCCUCUGUGCAGGGAUGACACACGGAUUCGUGGUGUUCAAAAAGCAGAU
ensembl:snRNA U6 U6 spliceosomal RNA